AACGAACGCUGGCGGCAGGCUUAACACAUGCAAGUCGAACGCCCCGCAAGGGGAGUGGCAGACGGGUGAGUAACACGUGGGAACAUGCCCAAAGGUACGGAAUGUUCUCGGGAAACUGGGAGCAAUACCGUAUGUGCCCGAAAGGGGAAAGAUUUAUCGCCUUUGGAUUGGCCCGCGUUGGAUUAGCUAGUUGGUGGGGUAAAAGCCUACCAAGGCGACGAUCCGUAGCUGGUCUGAGAGGACGACCAGCCACACUGGGACUGAGACACGGCCCAGACUCCUACGGGAGGCAGUAGUGGGGAAUCUUGGACAAUGGGCGCAAGCCUGAUCCAGCCAUGCCGCGUGAGUGAUGAAGGCCCUAGGGUUGUAAAACUCUUUCGUGGGGGACGAUAAUGACGGUACCCCAAGAAGAAGCUCCGGCUAACUUCGUGCCAGCCGCCGCAGUAA
rnacentral:rRNA from 1 species